ACCCUUUGUCUCCGUCCGACGGCGGCACUAUGGAGGAGUUUGCGCGGUGGGAGACGGGAGAGGCUCUGCCGGAGGAUUACGACGCAGAGGCGAGUCCCGUGGACAUGUCGAAAGGAGAGCCGCUGCCGACCUCGUCAGGUGUGAUGCUGGAGAAUAUCGGCUGGCUGUCCGAGGAGACUAUGGACUUUAACGUGACGGCGACCUUCACGGUUGCGUGGACAGACGAUCGGCUGGCGAACCUG